AACGGCGAGUGAAGAGGAAGAGCUCAAAGUUGGAACCUGUUUGGCCUAGCUAAACCGGAUUGUAGACUGUAGAAGUGUUUUCCAGGCAAGCCGAGUAAAUAAGUCCUUUGGAACAGGGCAUCAUAGAGGGUGAGAAUCCCGUCUUUGGCUUGAGCAUUUGCCUUUUGUGAUACGCUUUCAAAGAGUCAGGUUGUUUGGGAAUGCAGCCUAAAUUGGGUGGUAAAUCUCACCUAAAGCUAAAUAUUGGCGAGAAACCGAUAGCGAACAAGUACCGUGAGGGAAAGAUGAAAAGAACUUUGAAAAGAGAGUUAAACAGUAUGUGAAAUUGUUAAAAGGGAACCGUUUGGAGCCAGACUGGCUUGUCUGUAAUCAAUCUAGGCUUCGGCCUGGAUGCACUUGCAGGCUAUGCCUGCCAACGACAAUUUGACUUGAGGGAAAAAACUAAGGGAAAUGUGGCCCACUUGUGGGUGUUAUAGUCCCUUAGAAAAUACCUUGGGUUGGAUUGAGGAACGCAGCGAAUGCUUUUUGGCGAGUUUUCCAGGAAGGUUUUCUGAGGUACUACGGUAUCAAGGUUGAUCUUUUUGGUUAUACUUCUAUUCGCUUAGGUUGUUGGCUUAAUGACUCUAAAUGACCCGUCUUGAAACACGGACCAAGGAGUCCACCAUUAGUGCGAGUAUUUGGGUGCCAAACCCAUAUGCGUAAGGAAACUGAUUGAUACGAAUCCAUUAAGGAGGCAGUAUCGUCCGGCGCUGACGUUUUAUACUGAAUUGACCGAGACAAAGCACUAAUGAUGGGACCCGAAAGAUGGUGAACUAUGCCUGAAUAGGGUGAAGCCAGAGGAAACUCUGGUGGAGGCUCGUAGCGAUUCUGACGUGCAAAUCGAUCGUCAAUUUU
rnacentral:rRNA from 1 species